rfam:Schistosoma mansoni strain Puerto Rico chromosome 1, complete genome
AGCUUUCUGAUUUCAUGUCGAGAUUUCUUCAAACAUCAACCCACAAGGGCUGGUGAGACUUUCAACAAAAAUGAAGCU